UACGUAGGAUGCAAGCGUUGUCCGGAAUUACUGGGCGUAAAGCGUGCGCAGGCGGUUCGUUGUGUCGGCGGUGAAAGCCCCGGGCUCAACCUGGGAAUGGCCGUUGAAACUGGGAAGCUAGAGUAGGGUAGAGGGGUGUGGAAUUCCAGGUGUAGCGGUGAAAUGCGUAGAUAUCUGGAGGAACAUCAGUGGCGAAGGCGACACCCUGGACUCAUACUGACACUGAGGUGCGAAAGCGUGGGGAGCAAACAGG
rnacentral:rRNA from 1 species